CUGCCACAUGCUCUUCUCAAGAGCUCUCUCUGAUGUGCUUGGGAGACUUCACCAGCCCUGGGGUUCCCCAGUGUGGAAAUGGAGAUGACGGUGUGGCCUGGGGCAUCAGGGACUGUCUCUCGGGUCCUGGCUAGGGAGGGCAUCCUGGGGGUCCCGGGGAGCAGCCGCUGCCUUAAUGGGGGUGGAGCCACGAGGUUCACCACGAGGUUCACCCCGGUGUCCUCCUAACCUUCCGAUAAGGACAAGACCUGCACAGGGUCCCUUUUGAAGCAGGGUGCUGAGGAAGGAGUCCAUGACACAGGCGUCAUUCAAACAAAACUUGGAAGCCUCUUUGAGAAUGAGGUCAGGGCUAAAGGCCCUCGCCGGCCGGCUCCUUUCCUCCCUGCAUUCAUUGUCCCCUUCUUCACUGGCCCAUGCUGGGAACCAGCGACAGAGGUGGGACCGGGGCUGGAGAAGAGGGGGCCGUGCGGGCAGAUCUCCAGUCCUGAGCCAGUCCGGGUGUCUGUUCCCCCUGGAGACCUCCUCACACCGGCUCUGCCCCCACAGGUGAUCUUCAGCUACGAAGGGACCCUGAGUUAGACUCUGUUUCCUGAGCCGGCUGCUAGGGCUGCAGCGUGAGGAGCUCCCGGGAGGCCGACGUUCAUUUUGGGCUCUGCAUGGAGGGUUUUGGAGCUCGUGAAGUGCACCGAGAACAUGGGAGAGAUGCAAUUCCUAAGGAGCCCCAGCAGAAGGACCUGCCCUCCCUGUCACCUCAACACAGCACCUGGCGGAGAAGCAGCUCCUCUGUCUACCCCGGGGUCUCAGACGCCCCUCUGCAGCCGGAAAGUCAGCCUCAGGCGGUAAGAAGCUGGCAAACUCCCUGGUCUCAAGUGCGUUUGCCCCCAGGGGCUCCAGACCUGGCAGCUGGUUGGGAACUGGUUAUCCUGGACCAAAGCCUCCCCUAGCUCCACCGCAGGGGUGGAAGGAGGUGGCUUGUCUGAGAAACUCCGAGGUGAACAGCGACGCUCACAUGCAGAGACUAGGCCCGGCCCCACCUCCCCACAGAACUCCCACCCCAGUGCCCAUUCUGACCACGAACCCGGACGACACCCAGUUCCGCUCCCCUCAUACUUGCUUUCUGAAGCAUCAGGUAACAGCAAACCCUCCUGUGCAGCGACCACGUGAAUGCCGCGGCUGUGUAGGCUGCGAUUUCUUACCCUUUCUCAGCACGGGUGGCUCGGCAACAGGUGGGCGAUCUCAAGGCUCUGUAUCUGACGUGACUACUUGAUGAGACCCCAAAUGGCUUUGGAUGAGUCCAUUUCCCUGAGUUUUAAACACAGAAAAACACAGCCUGGGUGUUUCUGAUUCGUUCAAGCUUUAGCUCAAGAGUGCGCUCCUCAGUGGGAGUUCUUUGAAACAGAGGAGACACACAGGUGCACGGAAAAGGGUCCCAUGUGGAGCCCCGGGGAGCCUGGCUGGGGGCUCUGGGAAGCGGACGAUGUCCACACAUUCAUCGUGUGUACGAGAUCCAACUCCCUACCUCCCGGGGGUGCAGAUUGCAUGGCCCAGGGAGACUGCACCCACCUCGGGGAGGGCUCAGCCUCAUGAGAUAGCUAGACCCUCCCUUCAGCGGCUGAGGCCUCCCCAGAAUCCUACAACCCUCGGCUCUGCUCCCAAAGCCUGCACUCGCCUCUGAGGCCCCCGAGCACAGAGCUGGGUCAGUGUGCCUGAGUUCUGCAGACACGCAAACUCCGCUACAACGCAGCCUCAGUCAGCCUCGUGUCAUGUGGUCCUGCGGCUGCUCUGAAAACAGCCAUCCGGUAGGUUUUCUUUCCUUUUUCCUCUCCCGUCUCUGUUGUUGAUAUAGAAACUUCACGCUGAAAUUGAAUAGGAGGAAGGAGGUGACAGUCCUCUGAAACCUGAGAUCUCAGCCAUGCCAGGAGUAGCCAAGGC
rnacentral:lncRNA from 13 species